AGCAGGUUUUGUUUCUCAAAUCUCUUGUUCGUGGAGUGUUUUGAGCGACGAAGGCUGUAGAAUCCCAUGGCUUCGCGAACGACGUGCCCCACAGCCGAAGAGAGGAAGAUGGCGGAAACUAUUAAGGUUAGGGUUCCGCUGCAUCUUUCUUCGUCGUCGCCUUUGGUAACCAAUCGCUGUGAGCAUCAAUCGGAUUGUUGUUCGGCCCGGAUUGGGACACAAAAUGAAUCCAACUUCGGGCGGAGCGGCGCACCGGUCCGGUUCAUGUUCUACCGGGUUGAUUCGUGGAUCGAUUUCCCGAGCGAGGUUCUCGAGAAUAUUCGACCGUCGUUCUUGGAGGGUAGGCCAAUGGUCGAAUCAUCGAUUGGAGGGGCCAAGUAUAUCUUUGAUUUUCUUCGCAUGUUGCAGAUAGAUUUGGGGUCAGGUAGUCGGUGGUCUAUUGCUUGGAUUGACGAAAAUGGUAAGUUCUUUUUCCCCAAAGUGUUCGUCAGCGAAGAUCUGGAUAGCACUAAUGAGAACGGCCCGGUGGAGAAUUUCGGAGUUCAGAAAAUUGAGAUCGAGAUUCGAAUUUGCGGGGAAAGGGGCAAGAGAAAGGGGGUGGAACAUGAAUUGGGUCCGAAUGAGGACGAGACUGAGGUAAGUUCAUCGAAAAAGCGAGACGGGGAUUCCUCAAAACGGCCGCGUUUAACGACCGCCGAUUCAGAAACAUCUAGCUGGCCGAAUGCGAAGCUUUUGAGCCCAGGAGAACAAGCUUACUCGGUGAUUAGCAAUUUGUUCAUGGCUGGGAUCAGGAAGAUCGAUCACGGCGCUACCAUUACCGCAGUUCACCAGUGUACGCGCACUGGGCCGUUGGAGAGAGCUCGUCUCGAAGUUUUUCAGAGGCAGAAUGAGACCACCAAAGCUGCUCGUGGUGCGUCAAAUACCGUGUAUGCGUGGUAUGGAGCUUCAGCCAAAGUCGUAGCGCAACUUUUAGCACAUGGGUUUUCGGUGCCAAGCAAGGUUUCAGGGUCGGGAACUUAUGGAAUUGGUAUAUACUUCUCUCCUGUGGGCUUCCCCCAUUUAAGUGCACUGGAAUCGGAGUCUGAUGAUGAUGGGCAAAAGCAUGUGGUAUUGUGCCGGGUUAUAUUGGGAAGUGUCGAAAGGGUCGAGGCGGGGUCUCAGCAAUGCCAUCCUUCUAGUUUGGAUUUUGAUACAGGUGCAGAUAAUCCGAAGAAUCCUAAACGCUAUGUCGUAUGGAGCACCAACAUGAACAGGCACAUCCUACCUGUGUGUGUUGUGAGCUACAAAUCUUCUGAUCACGUUUCAGGCCAGUUGAGAGGAUCGGCGAAGUAUCCAUUUUCCAAAUUAUUUUCGAGGAUUAAUAAGUUCCUCCCUCCCUCAGAAGUUCACGCAGCCACGACUUUGUAUGACACAUAUAGGGCUCGGAAGAUGGCCAGAGAUGUUUUUGUGAACCGUUUGCGAUCUAUUGUGGGGGAUGACAUGCUGCUAUCGAUAAUGCGGGAGAUUCAUGCCUCAGAAUGAAGAUGAAGGUGUUUGGGUGGCUUCAACUGUCAAACUUGUAGAUAGCAAACUGCUGUCGGAUUAUAUCUGAGUAUGCUGUUAUUGAAGCUGCUUAAGGCAUUUCCAAUACUCCAUUUGGCACCACGGGGAACGUUGGCAAAAGGCUUACAAGCAUCUGACAUGUGGGUUUGAAAUACGGAGAUACUCACGGAACAUCUAAGGUACUCUUUCCUCCUGUCCUAUUAAAAGGUUCUUGCUUGCUUCAUCUGGAUAUUGUUUGAUUCUUGGUGAUUAUUCUUGUUUGAUGAUUGAACUAUCUUCUCCUUAGCAUAGGCUAUUGCUAUUGAAACAUUUGGUCUCAUCUUACGGUAACAGAAUUACUGAUACUCUACCCAGUGGUCCUAUAUGGAAGACGUUCACAACAAUGGCAUGCUAUAUUAUGCUUGAGGACAAACUUUCGCAUUUGCUUUGUAUUGCCUCAUGACUCUAGAAUUCUGGAUACUAGACGUAGAAACUAGUUUUUCUCUUACCACAUCGUUGGCCAUCGCAAAUAUGAACAUUAUUGGAAUGAGUGCUAAUUCUAUAUAAAUUCAUUCGCUGUAAAAUCAUAUCUCCAGUUGGAUACUUGUUUUUCUUCCUUUCAAAAUGAGGGUAUUUUAUCCUUCCCUACUGAGUAGACUGAAUUUUGAAAGUAGAAAUGGUUCAAAUUCUGUAGGUUCUUAGUGGCUGGCUAUCCAGUUGCUGAAAUAGUUAGGAUAUGGUUUCUUAAGAGGAUACACACCGAUUAAUUUGGAGCUAGGACGCUGCUUACAUUAAUGAAUUUCAGGGUAAAGAAAAUGGAUUCCAACCUUUUUAUCUCAUUUGGUGCAUUGAGAACUAUGGUUGUCGUCGGAGUCUUUAUUUGAUGGAAGUCAACGUGUGACAGCCAGCCCCUCCUACGCAGAGAAAGGGUCAAUUCUUAACCAUAUGAAAUAUGCUGUCCCUCCGUGCCUGACUACACUAAAAAAGGAGCUUAUUAUUUGGUAGCCCUUUUCUUUUAGGUACCUUUUACAAAUUUUGUGGGCAGGGCAAAUGCUUUGAAACUGAACAAAGAUUAAGAGACACCUAGAUGGAUUAAUAUGCCUUUAUCUCCCAAGGAAUCAUCUUUGGAGUUUGAAGCAAUUUGAGGUGCAAGAUAGAGAAAAUACAGAUUCUGUAGUGCUUAUUAAGUUUUAUUGGGAGUAUUUUCUAGUGUUUGGGAUGCAAGGUACCAGCAAAUAAAUGGAUAUUAUAUGCUCAGAAGUAUUUCUAGCUGAUGAUAUUUUUUUCCAAGUCCAUGUUUAGUAUGACGUGAGUUUUUUGUGUUAUCUAUUAAAUUGACAUGUAUAGAAAAAAGCGAAAGUGAUAGUCAAUAGGAUAUAUUAAAAUAGGUUAGCACCUUCGAUGGUAGGGUAUACCAAAUUUACAGUAACAAGAGCUUAUGCAGGCUCAUCAAAAGGGGAGAGAGAGAGAGAGAGAGAGAGUAUGUAGAACGCCCAGUGCCCACACAAGAGCUUAUUGAAUGACUCGGUUAGCACCCUCGAUGGUAGGGUAUACCAAAUUUACAGUAACAAGAGCUUAUGCAGGCUCAUCAAAAGGGGAGAGAGAGAGUAUGUAGAACGCCCAGUGCCCACACAAGAGCUUAUUGAAUGACUCGUAAGCUUCUUGGGGGCACUGAUGUACACUGACAUUUUUCCCUUUGGUUAUCUCUUGUUGCAUGGAUCCUCGAGAAAAGAGCUUUGAGAAGAGUUAUCCGUGUCACCAGAAUUUUGAAAUCACCCCGAUGAUGGCAACCUAACGGUCCUAACCUACUAUAACUUAUUUCAUACAGUGCAUGAUUUUGAUUUAGAUGUUUCUCCAAUGGAAAUUCCAUGGGAGUUUUUUUCUGUUCGGUGCAGUGCUGCGAAACGGAUGCUCAAAUUCCUCCCCAAAAUGUCAAGGUUCUGUUGCUGACCUUGUAUGUAGUCAUAUAUUUGGAAAUUAUCAGUGUAUAUUUUUUUUAAGUUAAUACAGCAUGUUCUUUCUGGUCUAAUCUGUUAAGGUAAGAGCCCCCCAAAAAUCAUUUUGUUAUUGUAGAAGGUUCUUUCUGGUCUAA